AAUGGGCGCAAGCCUGAUCUAGCCAUGCCGCGUGAGUGAUGAAGGCCCUAGGGUCGUAAAGCUCUUUCGCCUGUGAUGAUAAUGACAGUAGCAGGUAAAGAAACCCCGGCUAACUCCGUGCCAGCAGCCGCGGUAAUACGGAGGGGGUUAGCGUUGUUCGGAAUUACUGGGCGUAAAGCGCACGUAGGCGGAUUGGAAAGUUGGGGGUGAAAUCCCGGGGCUCAACCCCGGAACUGCCUCCAAAACUAUCAGUCUAGAGUUCGAGAGAGGUGAGUGGAAUUCCAAGUGUAGAGGUGAAAUUCGUAGAUAUUUGGAGGAACACCAGUGGCGAAGGCGGCUCACUGGCUCGAUACUGACGCUGAGGUGCGAAAGUGUGGGAGCAAACAGGAUU
rnacentral:rRNA from 1 species